GUAGUCGUGGCCGAGGGGUUAAGGCGAUGGACUCAAAAUCGACUGGGUUUUCCCCAUGCAAGUUCGAAUCCUGCCGACUACG